AAACCCAAAAUAUAUUGUUCACCGUGUUUACAGGUGUGGAUGGUGAAUUCUCUCGCUGGGGUUUCUGGUCCGACUGCAGCCUGACUUGUGGUGGCGGAGUCCAAACAAGAACCAGAACCUGUACUAACCCUCCUCCCCAGGGGUACGGAGAAGACUGUGAUGGCCCCCUGCAGGAGACCAGGGCUUGUAAUGACAAGCCCUGUCCAGGAAAUGACGAGGGUUGGACUUUCAAGCACAGUUAUCUGGGGAGAAACGUAGCGAAAGGAAACAAAUAGAGAUACUAUGUGCCACUCCUUACGAGUUGAUGCUCCUGCAGUAAACGUAAUGGGUUUGGAGCCGUGCAAACAUAGAGCAAGGGACAAACAUGCAUAAGGUGUUAAAGGAGCUUGGUCACGGUGUUUUGAGUUAUUUUGGCCGCGUACAAAAUUACCUUUAAAUUAAAGGAAACCUGAAAAUAAUAGUUUACCAAGUUAAGAUAGAAAAGCAUCAAAGAGAUACUUGUUAACCAUAAAGUAACAAGGAUGGUUUAGGAUGGUGAAGAUUAACACGGAUUACAAACGACGAACUUGAGAAAUCUAGCCUAAACUUUUCGAGAUGUGCAAACCGUGACGUAGCUCUGUUAAGCUAAGGGUGCCGGAUACAAGUUGUAUACAGUCCUUCAGUUUGGGUAGAAAUUUAAAUUGCUCCUGUAAUACUAGCCUCUUCCUGUGGUGUAAUUAAUAAAAAUGUGGGAAUAAAAGGCAUCAGUGUAUAUUUGUUUGUUUAUUUGGGGGAGAGGGCAAGCUUGCAUUACUGCUUGGGAACGAGAGAGAAUGUCCCGGAGAACUAACUAAUGGAGUGAGAGAUCCGUACAAAUAGUUCAUCAAUUCCAGUGUAAAGCUUCUGUGUGACUAAUGUCUACGGUCUGAUGGUCCAAUAGUUGCCUAACAGUGUCCAAUAGUUGGAAAUGUGAUGUUCUUGAAACUUGCAAAUUUGCCCUCGAAGCUCCCCUCUGGGGCAAAUACUUGUUUUAAGAACAUCAAGU